AUCAAUAAUCAAUAAUAUCCAAAU
rnacentral:snRNA from 1 species